AGUGGCUAAGGCCAUGAACAUGGAUGGACCUGCGGUGCAUUAGCUAGUUGGUGAGGUAACGGCCCACCAAGGCGACGAUGCAUAGCCGGCCUGAGAGGGCGGACGGCCACAUUGGGACUGAGACACGGCCCAAACUCCUACGGGAGGCAGCAGUAGGGAAUUUUCGUCAAUGGGGGGAACCCUGAACGAGCAAUGCCGCGUGAGUGAGGAAGGUCUUCGGAUCGUAAAGCUCUGUUGUAAGAGAAAAACGACAUUCAUAGGGAAUGAUGAGUGAGUGAUGGUAUCUUACCAGAAAGUCACGGCUAACUACGUGCCAGCAGCCGCGGUAAUACGUAGGUGGCGAGCGUUAUCCGGAAUGAUUGGGCGUAAAGGGUGCGUAGGUGGCAGAACAAGUCUGGAGUAAAAGGUAUGGGCUCAACCCGUACUGGCUCUGGAAACUGUUCAGCUAGAGAACAGAAGAGGACGGCGGAACUCCAUGUGUAGCGGUAAAAUGCGUAGAUAUAUGGAAGAACACCGGUGGCGAAGGCGGCCGUCUGGUCUGUUGCUGACACUGAAGCACGAAAGCGUGGGGAGCAAAUAGGAUUAGAUACCCUAGUAGUCCACGCCGUAAACGAUGAGAACUAGGUGUUGGGGGAAUAACU
rnacentral:rRNA from 1 species